rnacentral:lncRNA from 1 species
UAAGACCCUAGACCUACAGACACACAACCAUCAGCGUCGUUUUACAUAACACGACCCCUCCCCCACUGUUCUGCUUCGUCUUCAACAAAACACAUGACCCCUCCCCCACCGUUAUGCUUCAUCUUCAACCAAACACAUGACCCCUCCCCUUUUUGCUGCCAAGAAAUAGUAGGACACACACAAGACGAAACCAAAUAUGACCGGAAACAUGUAAUUCCGACGACCUUCCAUUGAAUCCGGCGAAACCGAGUUCGAACCCAACGGUAAACCCAGCUCCAAAACUCCCUGAAACUGCACCAAAUCAGCGUGGAAAUCAGCUCGAAAUUAUUACCCAAAUCCAGUCGAAUCGAAUCCGUUCGGGUUACCGAUUCUGGUCCAGAUGCCUAGUCUAUAGCUCGACUUAGAGUUUUGCUAUUUUAGAGCUUUUAUUUGCAUUGUAUUUGCUCCAGAAUUUCAACAAUAGAAGGUCAGUUCUUCCAUUUCUUCACUGGAAAUUUAUUCAUGUCCUGUUACUAGCGGGUAUAAAAGAAUAUACAUCAUGAUUCAUGGCGUUUCAGUUUCCUUUUAUUGAUUUCUGUCUUGAUUGAUCUGAUUUGUCUCCUUAUCUCAACACUGAAUAAUGUUAAGUUAUAUGAGUUUCAAGCUAUAUGAUUUCUAAAAUGAUCAUGCCACGUUGCGGCAAAUGUAAGCACUUUAUCCCUUAUUUCCCAUUUUCUUUAUCUAUAAAAAUGUUGGUCUGUUGUUGUGUCUUACCCAAAUUGCCGGAGCAAGAAGAAGGUAAUCCAUAUUAUUGACAUGAGUACCUAUAAUAUGAAAAUGUAAGUCGGUCUCAUUCACUACAUUGAAAUUUCAAAGAAGCUAAUAGAAUGCCAGGAUAGUUGAAAGCCUAAAGCUUGGUAAAAGGAACUAGACCUUAGUGCUUAUGGGAAGCUCAUGUUUCCUAGUUAAUUGGUUUAACCUUUUGACAGAAGAUCGUUUAUUAUUAUUUUUUUGGUAAGUUAACUUGAUAGGAGAUUAUUAGGAUGAGAUUCUCUUUUCUUUUGUUGCAUCUUGUCUUAUUCUUUUUAUUAGAAUAAUUGCUAGUAUGUUGCAGGUGCUAGUAAUUAAUCUAUCAUCGUGAUUGUGUACACGUUCGCGUGACAUAAUUAUGGUUUUUCAAAAUAAAUCGAGGUAUGCGUUCACGUAACUUUGGCCAAACAAUCUUAAUAUUAAUAAAGUGUGAUUAAUUGUGGACACGUACGCGUGACAUGAUUUUUUUACGCGCCAAAUGGAAUGAGUACACGUACGCGUGACUUGUUUUAAGAUAAUUUCUUAAUUAAAAGAGGCACAUAGAUUCUAAAUUGAGUAAUUAAACAAUUUGAUUAAGUCAAGUAUGAUCAAAGCAACCGUGCUAAAACCACGGAACUCGGUAAUGCCUAACACCUUCUCCCAGGUUACCAGAAUUCCUUACCUGAAUUUCUGUAUUUGCAGACCGUAAAUAGAGUCAACUUCCUCGAUUCAGGAUUUUAACCGGUGACUUGAGACACCAUAAAUUAUUUGAAGUGGCGACUCAGAUUUUUAAAUAAUAAUCCUGUUUCGAUUGUCAUUUAAAUUGCAAAAAACUCCCUACUACCCGUUCUAGAGGGUAGUAAAAAGGAGGUGUGACACAUAUUAUAUACCUCAAGCCAUCCUGCUCAAAAUCAAUAACCACACGCAAUUCGAAAUUAAGUACCCAAAGUGUAUUAUCAUAACCACGGAGAAGCAAAUUACACAAUGCCACACCUAACCCAAAAGAUCAUAACCAAUACGCAAUCAAUCAUGCAAUACCCAAAUACCCAUCUCGCUCAAAUUCAGCUAUAAGGGCCCUAAUAGAACCGCACCAUGUGUGCAUAUAACCAACGAAUCACAACUUCUCGUAGAAUAGAAGAGUAACUCACAGAUUAUAUCAGAACACGAAUGAGCUCAACAACAACCGAAUGGCACAUCCCUCAACCAUAGGUGUAUGGAGCCAACCAAUCUGACGUGGAGUAGAAUACACAUCCUAAUUGGGCGUACCACUGGAUCCCAAAUCAACUCUGGUCAUCCACAAAUAGAUAAAUAACCCUCCGAAGGUCCAGAAUGGCCUAACCAUAAUGCAUACCAUCCUUUGACUAGCUUUGGCCACAUUUUCACAGUCCACAACCGCAAAACAAUCUAUUCUUAAGAACUCCCGUUCCCCAAUCCAUAGAACACAUGAAUCACCAUAUCUGAUCCCCAUCUUCACAGUCUGAAUAUCUAACACAUCUCUCAUACACAAUCAUCCCACGAGGAAUACUUCUCUAAUUCUUCUGCGCCACAUAGCAAUAUCUGAAAAUCAGUAGUCGAUCAACCAAGCGAGCAUCACAAUACCAAUAAAGCAUCUGUAAGUCCAAACAAAGUGUGCCUACUGAAAUGCGCACCCUUCUCAAGCAAUCCAAGUAGUUGUAGCAUUUAUCUAAACAUAGGAAACCAUCCAUGGUGACUGAGAAUUCAUGACCUUCCCUUCAAAAUCGAAUUGUGACAUUGCACAUGCAUAUCUCAAUCCCACACAACACACCGCCUCUAUCAUUCCAUCAUAUGAAAAGCAUGAGAAUCUCAUAACCAACUCUGAGUCACCAGCAGAAUACAUACCCGAUUAGUCAGAAACCCUCAAUUUUAUCUCAUCUAAAAGAAAAUCCCAAUACACAACAUGUUCCACACAUCGGAAGGAAAUAUCCACCUCAAACAAUGAUGGAAAUCAUCGAGAACUCUUCAAAACCAAUUUUCACAUAACCAGACCAUCAAAAUUGAAUCUCUCUAACUCAAUCAAGUCAUGCAGGUCGCUAAACCCAAGAUUAUUGCCACAAAACACAUGUAGAGACUCACCACAUCCUAAGAACCAAAAGAGUCAAUCAUAUUCAUUACCAUAUUGAUCCAAUCUGUUACCAAGCUGCCCUAAUUCUCCCAAUUCCUCCUAAAUUUCCUUCAAAUUGAUACUUCUCUUUGCUAGAACACUACAAUCCUAAACCAAAACUUGUCCCACAAACUCUAGCAUAGAACCACACCGCCCUAAGGCUCAAAAGCCGUUGAAUUCCCUCUUAAGCACCCCAAAAGUACCAUAAUUGAGAUACACACUCUAAAGAGACCUUCCGUGAAUCUGAAGCUGCUUUUCUUCCCCUUCUUGAUACUAAAAUGUAGAAUCUAUAAUGAUAUAGAAAUAUCGCGAGUCUCGACCCCCUCCAAUGAAAAUCUCAGUUUCUAGCCAUAUACAAAUCCUGAAAGUUCCCAAUAGCUACAUUUAAAUCUUGCAUACAUUAGAACCAUUCUCGAGAGUCUUCCACUCCAGUCAAAUCUCAAUUAAACCGACUAAAUGGACUGAACAACAUGUGCCCCAUUAUCACACCAACAUCCAAGGAAGUAACCCACCUUAAUGCAACCAAACAAAUCCCUACUCCAUGCGCACUACAUCUUCUUUCCCGAAUAACAACUCAAUCAUCCCAUAAUUCCCAUAUACCCUUAAAUUGUAACAUAACUCGUAUCAAGAAAUUCCUUGCUAAUUCAUGAUCAAAACCAACAUCUGCAAGCCAUAACCGAUCCACAAGUAUGCCUCAGACUGAAACUGAUACAACACAUAACUAUCCAAUUAAAUUGUUGAUAACCAGCUCACCCACAUGGCUCAAAGCCAUAGAUCAAAACACACAAUAACUCACAAUGCCUAUACUCAUUUACUGUCAUAAACUCGCACUGAAAUUCAACUAAAUCCUUCAUAAGCUCAUGUAACACAAAUCAUUUAAUACCUCAAAUCAUCUACCAAGCUUGCAUUCAUCCUCAUGACGGUCAGGUCAACUAUUACAACCAAUUCAAGCUCAAAUCACACAAAUAUAACCCACUAGUGGAAACGAAGGCCUCCACACGACAUCAUAAAAGUCACACAUCCGUAGAUUACCUUGCAGGUUAUAACCCACAUGCUUAGCUUCAACUAACAUCUCUUUAUACCCUUUCAUAGCACAACUACUACGCAAUCACUUAAUCUUCCUGAGUAUAAACUCACCAACAAGGCAUGAGAACCAAAUUCAUUACAUAAUUAAACAAUUUAAAGAUCCUCCAAUAUACUCAUAGCUCGAGACUAUACGUCAUGUCGCGGUAGACAUCAAGCACCCAAUAGUUGUUUUUAAAUUAUAAGCAAACUCUUCUCAUCACAUUUAAUUUGUCUGAACACAUCCUGUAGUCAUAUCAUACUCAUCAUAUAGUCAUCCAACUUAUUAAAGCCACAAAUUCCACUCAAAUGGACACUACCAGACAUAUAAGUCCAAAAGCACGUGCUCACAAAAACGAAAUCUUCGUGCUCAAGCUAUAGUUAAAACCCGGCCUCAAGUUCUCCAAACUAGCCCACCAUCGGCACACCGAAAUCACAUCUCUCCACCUUAUCCAUGGAAUCGCAAGCCGCCGAUGCACAAUUGAUAUCGAGCGCUCACAUGUGCACACGAAUGCGUGAAAGGAAUACAAAGAGUUAUGCUUCAAGCUGAAUCAAUGUCGCACGAAAAGGAAAGAAAGAUGUGAAAUAUAUGCUAAAUGUCUUGUAGCCUCUCAAAGAUAGGUAUGGACGUCAUCAUACCGAUCCGCAAGACUCUACUAGACACUUGCUCAUGAAUUGUAGAACCUAUGAACUUAGAGCCAUGAUACCAAUCUGUCACGACCCAAAAUCCAACUAAUCGUGAUGGCAUCUAAUCCAACCCUCUAGAUAAGUCAACUAACAACUAUCCAAUUCCAAUGAAAUAAAUAAAACAAUUAAAUAGAAAAGUUAACUGAAUCUUAUACAUUCCCCAAGAACUGGUUACAAAUCAUGAGCUUUUAAGAAUAGAGGUUACAAAGCUAGUAUGAAGUAAAUACAUCAUCUAUUUGAAAAGUAGAUAAACCGAGUUUUAUGAAUCUAAGGCUACCACGAACAAGAGGCAGCUACAACCGGAACACAGGUACAUCUUCAAAUCCAGCUCCCAUCGAACACAAUAGCAUCAACAGCCAACAUCUGCAUGCAAGGUGCAGAAGUGUAGUAAGAUUACAACCGACCCCAUGUACUCAAUAAGUAAUAAACCUAACCUUAGGUUAAAAGUAGUGACGAGCUGGAACAAAGGUCGGGUCCAACAUCCAAUGGCCAACACCAGUUCAUAACAACACAAAGCAAGUAAUAAAAGAAGUAAUUCAGAAUAAAAUACUCAGUUUUUUAUAGUUUCCCAAAAAAUAGUUUCGCUUUUCAAGUAUAUCAGUGAAAACCCAAAUCUUUUGCCAAAAUCGUAGAAAAUAUGAGAAAGUUUGAAAACUGUAAAUUUUUCCCAAAAAUCCUUUCCACAAUAAAUAAGAGGAUUCAUUUUAUUUCUAGAUAGGAUGUGUGAAAUACCUCACAAUGCCCAUAUAUCAAUAUGAUAUAUCAAUAUGUAUGAGAAGUCAUGAAUGACGUGAUACCGUACAAUAUGAGAAAAAUGCAUCUCUAUGCUUGUAUGUCAUAUGUGCAUGCCAAUGCCAUGUAUCUCAGAGAUGAACUAAUGUACUCACACUCUCAGAGUACUCAAUCUCACUGUCUCACACUUUUCACUCAUCAUUCUUAAUCACUCAGUACGGUAUAUGGCCAAUCCGGCCCAGGGAAGAUCCAUCCCGGAAUAUAUACAUCAACUGAACAGCAGUUACUCAAUACUGAGUAGGGCCAAAUCCAGCCCAUGGGGAGGAGCCAUCACCAGGUAUAUAAAUGCUUCUGACAAGAUCCAUGUCCAAGGGAGAUCAAUCCCUCAAUAUAAUCAACCGCGCUCACUGAGGGUAUGUGCAGACUCCGGAGACCUCCUUCAGCCCAAGUACUAUCAUAAAUCAAUAUAGUCGUUAUGUCUUGCAACUUGAUCCCAGAUACGUAAUUAAUAUAACAUGUUACGGUGUGCAACCCAAUCCCAUAAUAUCACUCACACUCAGGUCUUCAACCAUACUCAAUCAUCAAUCUCUCCAGUCUCUCGGGCUCACAAUGCCAUGAAACUAUCCCAAAAUGAUGAUAUGAUUUGCCAAUAAAUGGUAACAAAGACAGAGAUAUGAUAUGCAUAUGAAUACACAUGAUUGAGUAUAUAAAGAAAUGAAAGCAGAUAACUCAAUAGCAGAAAUGACCUUAGUGGGCCUCAAUAGGAUAAGCAUGUAGCAUAGGCAUGGUUUCUAAAAUGGAUCAUAGCUCAAUAGCUCAAAUACGUAGAAAUUUCAUGGUUACAAGUAAGAUCAUGUAACUACACAGUACCACAAAAAUAAAGGAGUCACAUUUCACACGGUGUACGCCCACACGCCCAUCACCUAGCAUGUGCAUCACCUCAACACCAAUCACAUAACACGUAAUUCGGGGUUUCAUACCCUCAGGACCAAGUUUAGAAGUGUUACUUAGCUCGAACAAGCCAAUUCCAAUACCGAGCAAGCCAAACUAUGCUCCAAAAAUGCUAUCUCGCACGUACCGACCUCUGAAUGGCUCAAAACUAGCCAAAAGAAACUCAAAUACAUCAAAUAAUGCCAAAUAAAACAAACCCAUCGAUAAGUGUUGAAUCUUGAAUCAAAUGCCCAAAAUCAACUAAAAAGUCCAAUAUGGGCUCGCGCCUCAAAACCCGACACAACUCAUAAAAUCUGAUAACUCAUUCAAUUACGAGUUCAACCAUACUAGUUUUACUCAAAUCCGACUCCAAAUCGAUGUUCAAAACUCAAAUAUUCACAUUAUGAAACUUUAGGCUAAAACCCCCAAUUUCUCUUUAAAAUUCAUCAACCGAUUGCCAAAAAUGAAGAUAGAUUCAUGAAAUAAUAUCAAAACCAAGGGUAGAAAACAUAACCCAAUCCUUGGGAUGAAAAUUGCUCCAAAUAUUGCCUUAAUCCGAGUCCCACAUCUCAAAAUAUUAAGAAAGAACCAAAACCUCGAUUUGUAUAGCUUCUGCCCAGCCAUUUCUGCUUUUGCGGACACAGGAGCCGCUUCAGUGCUUCUACGACACGAGCUCCGCUUCUGCAGACUCCACUAACUAGUUGACCCCUCACACCUGCGGAUAUACAUCCGCUUCUGCACAAUCACAGGUGCAAAGCAUAACACGCUUCUGCGCCCAAGACCAUCGCUUCUGCGGGGCAGCAUAUGCGCCCCAACUUCCGCUUUUGUGAUUUAUUCCAACCAAGUCUACUUGCGCUCCUAUGGCCAAAUAUCCGCAUUUACGGACUCGCAUUUGUGACCAUCCUUCAGUAGAUGCGGAAACACCAAAACCAGUAUACCUACAACAAUGCAACAUGGAAUGGAAAUGAUCCAAACCUUGUCCAAAACUCACCCGAACCCCUCGAGACCCCGUCCAAUUAUACCAACUAAUCCAAUAACAUAACACAGACCUACUUGAGGCCUCAACUCACGCAUAACAACAUCAAAACGAUGAAUCGCACCUCUAAUCAAACUUUAUGAAUUUUGAACUUUCAACUUAUAUAACUCGUGCCGAAACAUAGCAAACCAACCCGGAAUGAACCCAAAUUUUGCACACAAAUCCCAAAUAACAUAACGAAGCUAUUCCAAUCCACGAAACCACAAUCCAAAUUUGAUAUAAAAACUCCACUCCCGGUCAAACUUUUCAAAAAUUCAACUUUCACCAUUUCAAGCUGAAUUCAACAACGGGACUCCAAAUCACAAUCCGGAUACGCUCCAAAGUCCAAAAUCACCCAACGGAGCUAACCGAAUCAUCAAAACUCUAAUAAGAAGUCGAAUAAUAAAAAGUCAAAACUAGGUCAACUCUUCCAAUUUAAAUCUUCCUAGAGAAUCAUUCUUCCAAAUCAAUUUCGAAUAUCCUGAAUACCAAAACCGAUGACUUAUACAAGUCAAAAUACAUCAUACAGAGCUACUCAUACCCGUAAACUACCGAGCAAAUUGCUAAUGCUCCAAACUACCGGUCGGGUCGUUACAGAAUUGAACUUAUAGUUUGUGUUUAAAUUGAAUGAAUUAUAAUUAAUUAUAUUUACUAUAAUAUAAUUUGAUGUAAUUUGGAAAAAUUAAUUAUCUUAAUUAACUAAAAAAUAUUUAAUUAAUUUAUAAUUGUAGAAUAAAUUGAAUAGUUCUAAUACUUAUAAAAAUAUCUCUAUUUUUUUUUUAUUUGUAUAGAUUGAACAUCGUACUUGGAUGUACAAUAGGAAUUAUCCUAGUCAGCAGGGAUUGAUGGAUGAUUUUGUAGAAGGGGUUGAUGACUUUAUAUAGACAUGCAAUGUCACUUUCACCAUACUAAAUUGAAGGAGUAAUUAGGUGCACUUGUUUUAUUUGUAUAGAUGGAACAUCGUAUUUGGAUGUACAAUAGGAAUUAUCCUAAUCGGUGGGGAUUGCAGGAGGAUUUUGUAGAAGGGGUUGAUGACUUUAUUAGAGAUGCAAUGUCACUUUCACCAUACCAAAUUGAAGGAGUAAUUAGGUGCCCUUUUGUCAAGUGCGAUUGUGUGAAGUUUAAAAAACCGGAUGAAGUUAAGUUUUAUCUUUAUAGGAAGGGGUUUAUAAAGAAUUAUUUGUAUGGACUAAUCAUUUAGAGAUCAAUGGUAGCCGUGGAAUAUUUCAUAACAUGGUUGUUGGUGAAAGUAGUAGGUCGGUGGAGAAUACAAAUCAUGAUUCUAGAUUUCAGGAUAUAGUUGCGGAUGCUUUUGGGAUGCACUCCGGGUGUGAGCCCAAUGAAAAUGUUAAAAAAACUCUUAAUGAUGAUGCAAAACAUUUUUGUGAACGGUUAGAGGAAGCUAGUCGUCCACUACGUGAAGGAAAGCUGCACUCUGAGUUGUCUAUUGCAGUUAGAUUACUAAGUAUCAAAUCUGAUUGAAAUAUUUCUCAAGCGGCUAUGGACUCUUUCAUUGACCUUAUGAGUGAACAAGUUGACCCAAAUAUCAAAUUACCUAGUGAUUUCUAUAAGGCAAAGAGAUUGGUUUCUAAGUUACGACUUUCGUCAAUGAGAAUUUAUUGUUGUGAAGAUGUUGCAUGUUAUAUUAUAAAGAUGAUGCAAAUUUAGAAAGUUGUAAAUUCUGCGAAAAGCCUCAUUUCAAGAGGCUUUCCAGCAGGAAUAUGGCCGUUGUGAAGGCGAUGCAUUAUUUACCUCUUAUACCUAGGUUAAAGAGGUUAUAUGAGUCGAUAAGUUCUUCUCCUCAUAUGAGACGGCACUUUGGACGCACUUUGAUAGGACAUAUCUAGAUUAUGCUAGUGAACCAAAGAACAUUUGGUUAGGUUUGUCUGCGGAUAGCUUCACGCCUUUUUCUAUAUAUGCGACACCAUAUUCAUGUUGGCAUGUCUUUCUUACACCUUAUAAUAUACCACCUGAGUUGUAUAUGACUAGUCCAUAUAUAUUUUUAAAUUGUAUUAUCCCCCAUCCACAUAAUCCGAGAAGUUUGAUUGAUGUAUAUUUUCAACCUUUGAUUGAUGAGCUAAAAUAUAUGUGGUAUGAUGGUGUUGAAACAUAUGACACAUCAACCAAGCAGAAUUAAAAUUGCGUGCUAAUUUAAUGUGGACUAUUAAUGAUUUUCCUGCGUAUGAAAUGUUUUCUGGGUGGAUGACUGCUGGAAAUCUAGCUUGUCCUUACUACAUGGAAAAUGGUAAAACAUUCACUUUGAAAUAUGGCCAAAAGCAAUCAUGGUUUGAUUGUCACCGUCAGUUCUUGCCUGAUGAUUAUGAGUUUAGAAGGAUGAAAAAUGCAUUCAAAAAGAAUAAAGUGGAAUAUGAUUUGCCACCUCCGAUACUUUCAGGUGAGGAAAUUUGGGAGAGGGUCCAGAACUUCAGUAAAGUUAUUGAGGCUCCACCUUUUAGAUUCCCCAGAUACGGUGUUACUCAUAAUUGGACGAAACAGAGUAUAUUUUGGGAGUUGCCUUAUUGGAAGGAUAAUCUUCUCCAACACAACCUUGAUGCCAUUCAUAUUGAGAAGAAUUAUUUUGACAAUUUGUUCAACACAGUGAUGGAUGUUAAAGGUAAGAUAAAAGAUAACCCAUAGGCUAGAAUGGACAUACAAGAAUAUUGUAGGCGACCUGAAUUAUACUUGAAAAUAAAAAAUAAUGGUAAGGUGUUCAAGCCCAAAGCAAGUUACACAUUCACUUUGGAGGAAAGACAGACAAAUUUGUGAUUGGGUUACGAAAUUGAAGAUGUCUGAGGGUUAUGCGUCGAAUCUAGGAAAACAAGCAGAUAUGCAGGUAGGGAAGUUGAGCCAUUUGAAAAGUCAUGACUGUCAUGUUUUCAUAGAGACCUUAGUGCCUAUUGCAUUUUGUGGUUUGCCUGAAAGAAUCUGGAAACCCAUCAUAGAGAUUAGUUUAUUUUUCAAAGAUGUGUGUUCUAUCACAUUAAAAAAGAAAACUUACUUCGGAUGGAUUAGAACAUUCGUGUAACUUCUAAUAAGAUGGAAAAAAUAUUUCCAUGUCGUUUCUUUGAUGUGAUAGAACACCUUCCAAUCCACAUUGUACACGAGGCACGACUUGGAGGGAAUAUUCAAUGCAAAUGGAUAUAUCCCUUUGAAAGGUAAUAUUAUAAGUUUGAUGUAGUAUUCUAUUUUAUUUGAAUGUUCUUGGCUAACAUGACAUUAUGUAGGACAAUUGGCAGAUGCAAACAAUUUGUUAAGUAGAGGAAUAGGAUUGAAUGAUCUAUAUGUGAAGCAUAUCUCGCAAAGGAAACUACAUAUUUUUGUUCUUAUUAUUUUGAGAGUAACGUACCAUGUUCUAGGAAUAGGUCCGAUAGGCACACUAUCGAAUGUUUGAAUGAUCUAUUGUAUCUAUCUACCAAUGUCCAUAUUCAAUUAAUCAAGACGAUAUUCGAAGGAUGUUAGAAAGAGAAGUUUGAGUGAUAUGGAGUACAAGUCAGUUACAAUUCUGUAACGACCCGGCCGGUCGUUUCAUGAGUUAUAACCCCGUCUCCCCCAUUUUUGCUUCCUUAUGUGUUGUUCAGCAGUAUUUCAUCAUAUCGUGUUGGUGGUGUUGUGUUCGGAGUGGUCUUAGGGUGGAGUGAGAUACUUAGUCUCUUAAGUUGGUUAUUUAGUUGGAAAAGUAAACUAGAAGUUGACUAAUGGGUAAAUGAUCUUGGAAUUGUAUUUUUAUGGUUCGGAUAGCUUCGUUAGGUGAUUUGGGACUUAACAACAUGUUCGGAAUGUAAUUUGGAGGUCCGUGGUAGAUUUAGCCUUGAAUUGGCAAAAUUGGAAAUUUAGCAUUUUUCGGUCGGCCAUGGAAAUCUUGAUAUCGAGGUCGAAAUGGAAUUUUGGAAAUUGGAGUAGGUCCAUUGUGUCAUUUUUUACGUGUGUGUAAAAUUUUAGGUCAUUCGGCGAGGUUUGAUAGGUUUUGGCAUCAUUUGCGGAAUUCGGAAGUUUGGAAAUCCUUAGGCUUGAAUCCCAGGAUGAUUUGAUGUUUUGAUGUUAUUUUGAGUGUCCCGAAGGUUGGAAUAAGUUUGAAUGGUGAUAUGUGACUUGUUGGCAUGUUUGGUUAAGGUCUUGAGGGUCUCAGGAUGGAUUUGGGUGGUUGACGAAAGGUUUGGCUUUGAGUUGUUGCUGCAGAUUUUGUUGCUUCUAUCACUUCUGCACCUACGGAUUGGGGACCGCAAGUGCGAGGUCGCAGAUGCGGUAUGGAGACCACAGAUGCGAGUAUGGUCUUUAGGAGAAGAACCGCAGGUGCGGUACCUGGGGUGUAGAUGCGGUCCUGGACAUUUAAGUGAAAACUGCAAGUACGGUUGAUUUGACCGCAAUAGUGGUCCGCAGGUGCAUGAAAGGGAGUCGCAGGUGCGAGAUGCCUGGGCAGAAGGUAUUUAAAGGAACCCUUCACGAAUUUUGGGUGUUCUUCACAAUUUCAACUCGGGUUUUGGAGCUUUUGGAGGGUUUUGAAGAGGGAUUCAAGGGAAACUCGUUAAGGUAAUGUUUUUGAACCUAAAACUCAAUUCUAUGGUGAUUUUCAGUUGAUUAAGCAUGAAAAUUGUGGGAUUUAAGGGUGAAAAUUGGGGGAUUGCGGCUUGAAUUGGGGAGUUUAAAUUGGGGAUUUGAGGAACCAUUUGAGGUCCGAUUUUGAUGAUUUUGGCAUGUAUAGAAUCGGGAGUGAAAGAAGUUUCUAGUUUUAUGAUUUUUGUUGGAUUCCGAGACAUGGGCUCGGGGUCGGGUUUGGCCAAUUCAAGGAUUUUUGAGCUAAUUUGAUACUUUUCGCGCGGGCUUUAUUCCUUUGGCGUGUAUUAAUGAUGUAAGACUGAUUUUAGUUAGAUUCGGAGCAUUUGGAGGCUGAUUCGAGAGGCAAAGGCAUUGCGGGCUAGAGUUUUGUCCGAUUUGAGGUAUGUAAUGAUUGUAAAUCUUGUCCUAAGGGUAUAAAACCCCGGAUUUCACAUCAUUUCACUAAUUUGAGGUGACGCACAUGCUAUAUAACGAGCAUGGGGGCGUUCACCAUUAGGGAUUGUGACUUGGUUCGUCCCGUACGACUAUUAAAUCACAUAUUUGACUGAAAACUAUUUGAUAUUAUUGUGCUUUGGAAAUUAUUACUAUGUUUUGGGCUGAAUGCCAUAUUUGGGCCUCGUGCCAAGUUGUUUGGACCCUUAGGGGCUUUUAUUUACUAUUAUUCUGCACUGUUUUAUGUAAUAUUUGUACCCAGUCAUGUUGUGUUUUACUAAAUUCAUAACUCGGCCUUAUUUGUUUGAUACUAUAUAUGAUAUUUUGGGUUGAGCGCCCUGUUUUACUGUUAUCCCGAGUGGCUUGAGAGGUUUCUGACUGAAUGAGGUCGAGGGCCUGUAUGUGAGGAUAUCAUGGGAUCAGGCUGUGUGCCGCAACAUGUUGUACUGAUUUGAGAUAUAUGAGAGGCAGAAGGCCUGAUUUUUUAUGCCACGAGAUGGCUUGUUAUAGUGGUUGGGCUGUAGGAGCCCCUCCCGAGUCUGAACACCCCUAGUGAGCGCGGGUACCCUGAGUGAGCGAUAUGAUGUUUCUCGAGGGGAUGAUCUUGAUUCAUAUUAUGCCCGAGGGGCUGAUUACGAGUGACUGUGAGGUAGCCCGAGGGGCUAGUUCUAAUUGAUGUUAUGCCGAGGGGCAAUUUAUGAUGCAUGUCUUGCCCGAUGGGCUAUUUAUGAUUUUCAUCAUUUUUACUCUAAACUUCAUUGAAUCUCUAUUGAAACUGUUAGAAAGAAAUUUUUCAAAGGUUUUUUUACUGAAAUUUGGAUUCUUACAAGACGAUUUGCAAUAGAUACUAUUUUGGAAAUAUAUUAUACUUACUGUGGUGUUAUGACGUGGAUUAUGUGUUUUCUUACUGCUCAGUCUUGAUUUACUUUUAUUACUUACUGAGUUGGCCUACUCACUGCACCUUGUGUGCAGAUCUAGGAGUUGCAGAUCGUGAUAGCGAGCAUUGAUCUUUCAUCCAGCGGGUCUUUCGGAGUCGGCAAGGUAGUUGCAUGGCGUUCGUAGCCUUGCUCUUCUCCCUCUUAUCUACCUUAGACUGUUUUUAGUAUUUUCCAAAUCGUGAUAGUCUUCGUUGUAUUCAAACUUUAGUAGAUGCUUGUGAUUUGUGACACCCUGAUGUCGGGCUUGUGUUUCUUUCCGCACUUGUUAUUUAGACGCAUGUUAUGGGAUUUUAUUUACUUAAUAGCUUAAAACAUCCUUACUUUGAAAUAUUGACUUGAUUUGGGAUUGUGUCGGCUGGCCUAGUUUCAUGAUAGGCGCCAUCACGACCGGGUUGGUUUUUGGGUCGUGACAAGUUGGUAUCAGAGCCUAGGUUAUAUAGGUCUCACGAGUCAUGAGUAGGUUUAGUAGAGUCUUACGGAUCGGUACGGAGACGUUUGUACCUUUUUCGAGAGGUUGCAGAACCUUUAGGAAAAACUUCAUAUUCUUGAAUUUAUGUCGUGCGAAUCUAUUGAUUCUGGUAACUGAACUUCUGUUAUUCUAUUCUCUCUCAGAUGGUAAGGACACGUGCUACCGGUCAGGAUGGACGACCACUAGUACCACUAGUUAGGGCCACUAGAGGUUGAGGAUGCGGUCGAGGCCAUGGUAGGGGCAGGGGUGUAGCCCGCAUAGCAACUAGGGCAGUACCUGCAGAUCCACUAGCCACCCUAGUUCAUGAUCAGGUCCUAGUUGCGGAUGCUCCAGUAGGACCAGCUCAGGCACCGACAAUGCCCAUUGUUAUUCCAGGCCUUCAGGAGCCCCUAGCCCAGAUUCUAUCAGUGUACACUGGCAUGGCUCAGGCGGUCUCAGUUACUACGGCCACAGCUACUUCUCAGGCCGGGGGAGGCACUCAAACUCCCGUCGCUGCCACACCUGAGCAGGUUAUACAGGGACUUCAGACACUGGGGGCACCUCCAACCCAGCCGGUUGUAGUUGCGCAAGACUAUGUAGCUCCUGUUAUGCUAGAGGAUGAGUAGGGCAGAUUGGAGAAGUUUAGGAUACUCCAACCUCCGUCAUUUAGUGGUGUUGGGGGUGAGGAUGCAUAUGAUUUCUUGGAUAAGCAUCAGAGGAUGCUUCAGACCGGAGUAUUCUGGAGACCGGUGGGGUCUCAUUCAUUACUUUCCAGUUCUAUAGGGCUACACUUAGUUGGUGGGAGGAUUACGAGAGGCGUAGGACGGUUGGCGCAAUGCCUCUUUCUUGCCACUAGUUCUUCGUUCUCUUUCUGGAGAUGUUUGUACCUAAGUCUCGCCGAGAUGAGUUGUGCAGGCAGUUCGAGCAGCUUCAUUAGGGUGAUAGAUCUGUUACACAGUAUGAGAUGUGGUUCUCCGAGUUGUCUCGUCAUGCGGUCUAGUUGGUUCCCACAGAUCGAGAGAGGAUCGGGAGAUUUAUAUAUGGCCUCAAUUUUCAGCUUCGAUUGCCUAUAACUAGAGAGAGGGUCUGUGGUACCACUUUUGAUAAGGUUGUUGACAUAGCUCGACAUAUUGAGAUGGUUCAUGGUCAGGAGACGGUUGAGAGGGAGGAAAAGAGGCCUCAUGGUCAGGGUGGAUUUAGUGGUGCUCCUCAUAGGGGUCAAUUUUAGCAUGACAAAGGUUGUCCAUUCAAACAUACUCAAUCAGCUCGCCCAGUUUAUCGGGGGGCAUCAUCAGGCCACAGUUCUCAUCAGGGUCAUUCAUCACUUAGUGCCUUUCCAGCCUAGAGUUCAUCUCGUGCUCCAUCAGUUCAGGGCUCUUCCAUGCCAGGUUCUUCUGCUAGUCAUCCCGAUUCUAGGGGUUCCCUUUAGUCCCCGUCUCCAGCACUAGGGGUUGUUAUGAGUGUGGAUAUUUGGGGCAUGUAUGUAGGUAGUGUCCUUAUCGUCAUGGGGGUCCGCCUCUGUAGAGGAGUCAACCAUCGACUUCAGCACUAGUUACUUUUACCACCAACCUAGUCAGCUAGAGGUGGAGGACAGUUAGCUAGGGGUUUCCCCAGAGGGGGAGGUCGAUCAGGUGGUGGUCAGGCCCGUUUCUAUGUAUUCCCAGCCAGACUAGAUGUUAUUGCUUCAGAUGCGGUGAUUACAAGUAUUGUCUCAGUUUGCCACAGAGAUGCCUCUAUGUUAUUUGAUCCUGGUUCCACUUUUUCAUAUGUGUCAUCUUAUUUUGCUCGUUAUUUAGACUCGCCCUGUGAGCCUCUUGUUUUAUCUAUUCGUGUAUCUAUUCCGAUGGGCGAUACUAUUAUUGUAGACCGCAUAUAUCGAUCGUGUGUGGUGACUAUUGGGGGUUUUAAGACCCGAGUGGACCUUCUGAUGCUUUGUAUAGUGGAUUUUGAUGUGAUAUUAGGCAUGGAUUGGUUAUCUCUGUGUCGUUCUAUUUUGGACUGUGAUGCUAAGAAGGUGAUGUUGGCCAUGCCGGGUGUGCCACGGAUUGAGUGGCGAGGUUUGACUGAUUUUGUUCCCAGUAGGGUGAUUUCAUUUUUGAAGGCCCAGCGGAUGGUUGGGAAGAGUUGUCUUUCUUACUUAGCCUUUAUGAGGGAUGUCAGUGCAGAGACUCCUAGUAUCGAUUUUGUUCCAGUAGUGAGGGACUUUCCGGAUGUGUUUCCUAAAAACCUGGCGAGCAUGCCACCGGACAAGGAUAUUGACUUUGGUAUUGAUUUGUUGCCGGACACUCAGCCCAUUUCCAUUCCAUCGUAUUGUGUGGCACCGACGGAGUUGAAGGAGUUGAAGGAGCAGCUUCAGGAACUCCUUGAUAAGGGAUUAUUCGUCUUAGUGUGUCGCAUUGGGGUGCGCCUGUUCUAUUUGUUAAAAAAAGAAUGUCAAGAUGAGGAUGUGCAUUGAUUACAGGAAGUUGAACAAAGUCACAAUCAAGAACAAGUAUCCUUUGCCUCGUAUUGAUGAUUUAUUUGACCAGCUUCAGGGAGCAAGAGUGUUCUCCAAGAUUGAUUUCAGGUCAGGGUAUCACCAGUUGAAGAUCAGGGACUCGAAUAUUCUUAAGAUAACUUUCAGGACCCGAUAUGGUCAUUCUAAGUUCCUUGUGAUGUCUUUUGGGCUGACCAAUGCCGCAGCAGCGUUCAUGCAUUUUAUAAACAACGUGUUUCGGCCCUAUCUCGACUUGUUCGUUAUUAUAUUCAUUGAUGAUAUUCUGGUGCACACGCGUAGUUAGGAGGAGCACACUGAGCAUUUGAGAGUUGUAUUGCAGCGGUUGAUGGAGGAGAAGCGUUAUGCAAAGUUCUCCAAGUGUGAGUUUUGGCUCAGUUCAGUGGCUUUCUUGGGACACGUGGUAUCCAUUGAGGGUAUUCAGGUUGAUCCGAAAAAGAUAGAGGCGGUUCAGAGUUGGCCCAGGCCGUCCUCAUCCAUAGAGAUUCUCAACUUUCUUGGUUUGGCAGGUUAUUACCAUCGGUUCGUAUCAGGUAUUUUCAUCUAUUGCAUCACCCUUGACCAAAUUGACUCAAAAGGGUGCUCCAUUUAGGUGGUCAGAUGAGUGUAAGGCGAGCUUUCAGAAGCUCAAGACUGCCUUGACCACAGCUCCAAUAUUAGUUUUGCCAUCAACUUCAGGUUCAUAUACAGUAUAUUAUGAUGCUUCAAGAGUUGGUAUUAGGUGUGUGUUGAUGCAGGAGGGUAGAAUUAUUACUUAUGCUUCUCGUCGGUUGAAGCCUCAUGAGAAGAACUACCCUAUUGACGAUUUGGAGUUGGUUUCCAUUUCACGUAUUGAAGAUUUGGAGGCAUUAUCUCUAUGGUGUGUCUUAUGAGUGUUUACUGAUCAUCGUAGCCUCCAGCACUUGUUCAAGCAGAAGGAUCCCAAUUUAAGGCAGCGGAGAUGGUUGUAGCUGCAAAAGGAUUAUGAUAUCACUAUUUUGUACCAUCCAGGGAAGGCCAAUAUAGUGGCAGAUGCCAUGAGUAGAAAGGUGGUAAGUAUGGGCAGUUUGGCAUAUAUUCAUGCUGGGGAGAGACCUCUUGUAGUUGAUGUUCAGGCCUUGGCCAAUCGGUUUAUGAGUUUGGAUAUUUCGAAGUCCAGUCAGAUCUUAGCUUGUGUGGUUUCUAGGUCUUCCUUAUUUGAUCGCAUCAGAGAGCGCCAGUAUGAUGAGCCUCAUUUGCUUGUUCUCAAGGACAGAGUUCAGCACGACGAUGCCAGAGAUGUGACUAUUGGUGAUGAUGGGAUAUUUAGGAUGCAGGUUCGGAUAUGUGUGCCCAAUGUAGAUGGGCUUUGGGAGUUGAUUCUGGAGGAGGCAUAUAGCUCGCGGUAUUCCAUCCAUCUGGGUGCCGCGACGAUUUAUCAGGAUUUGAGACAGCACUAUUGGUAGAGGAUAAUGAAGAAAGAUAUAGUGGGAUUUAUAGCUCGGUGUCUCAAUUGUCAGCAGGUGAAAUACGAGCAUCAGAGACCGGGUGGCUUGCUUCAGCAAAUGGAUAUUCCAGAGUGGAGUGAGAGAGGAUCACUAUGGAUUUAGUAAUUGGGCUCCCAUGGACUUUGAGGAAGUUCGAUGCCAUUUGGAUGAUUGUGGAUUGGCUGACCAAGUCCGCGUACUUCAUUCCUGUAUGUACCACCUAUUCUUCAGAGCGGUUAGCUGAGAUUUAUAUCUGAGAGAAUGUUUGCCUGCAUGGGGUUCCAGUUUCCAUCAUUUCAGAUAGAGGUACUCAAUUCACAUCGCAGUUUUGGAGAGUCGUGCAGCGAGAGUUGGGUACUCAAGUUUAGUUGAGCACAGAUUUUCACCCUCAGAUGAACGGACAGUCUGAGUGCACUAUUCAGAAAUUGGAGAACAUGUUGCGCACUUGUGUCAUUGAUUUUGGGGGUUCAUGGGAUCAGUUUUUAUUGCUCGCAGAGUUUGCAUACAAUAACAGUUAUUAAUUGAGUUUUUAGAUGGCUCCAUAUGAGGCUUUAUAUGGGAGACGAUGUAGAUCUCCAGUAGGAUGGUUUGAGCUGGGCGAGGCUAAGCUUUUGGGUACAGACUUGGUGAAGGAUACUUUGGAAAAAGUGAAAGUGAUUCAGGAGCGGCUUCGUACAGCGCAGCGAGACAAAAGAGCCAUGCUAACAGGAAGGUUCAUGAUGUGUCUUACAUGGUUGGGGAGAAGGUUCUACUGAAGGUUUCACCCAUGAAGGGUGUUAUGAGAUUUGGGAAGAAAGGUAAAUUGAGUCCUCGGUUCAUUGGGCCUUUUGAGGUGCUUCGAAGGAUUAGGGAGGUGGCUUAUGAGUUGGCUUUGCCACUUAGAUUGUCGAGUGUGCAUCCGGUAUUUCAUGUUUCUAUGCUCCGGAAGCAUAUUGUCGAUCGGUCUCAUGUUUUAGAUUUCAGCACGGUUCAGUUAAAUGGUGAUUUGACUUAUGAUGUGGAGCCAGUGGCUAUUUUGGAGCAGCAGGUCCAAAAGUUGAGAUAGAAGGAUAUAGCUUCAGUGAAAGUGCAGUGGAGAGGUCGGCCCAUGGAAGAGGCUACUUGGGAUACUGAGCGAGAGAUGCGGAGCAGAUAUCCACACCUAUUUGAGGCUUCAGGUAUGUUUCUUGACUGGUUCGAGUACGAACGUUUGUUUAAGAGGGGGAGGAUAUAACGACCUGACCGAUCGUUUCAUGAGUUAAAACCUCGUCUCCCCCAUUUUUACUUCCUUGUGUGUCGUUCAGCUGUAUUUUAUCAUAUCGUGUUGCUGGUGUUGUGUUCAAAGUGGUCUUAGGUGGAAUGAGACACUUAGUCUCUUAAGUUGGUUAUUUAGUUGGAAAAGUCAACCGAAAGUUGACUUAUGGGUAAAUGAUCUCGGAAUUGGGGUUUUAUGGUUCGGAUAGCUUUGUUAGGUGAUUUGGGACUUAGGAGCGUAUUCGGAAUGUAAUUUGGAAGUUCGUGGUAGAUUUAGGCUUGAAUUGGCGAAAUUGAAAUUCGGCGUUUUCCGGUCGGCAGUGGAAAUCUUGAUAUCGGGGUUGGAAUGGAAUUUUAGAAAUUGGAGUAGGUCUUUUGUGUCAUUUGUGACGUGUGUGCAACAUUUCAGGUCAUUCGGACGAGGUUUGAUAGGUUUUGGCAUCAUCUGCAGAAUUCGGAAGUUUGGAAAUCCUUAGGCUUGAAUCCAAGGGUGAUUUGAUGUUUUGAGUGUUCCGAAGGUUGGAAUAAGUUUGAAUGGUGAUAUGUGACUUGUUGGCAUGUUUGGUUGAGGUCCCGAGGGCCUCGAUAUGAAUUUGGGUGGUUAAUGGAUGGUUUGGCUUUGAGUUAUUGCUGUAGAUUUUGCUGCUUCUGUCAUUUCCGCACCUACAGAUUGGGGACCAUAGUGCGAGGUCACAGAUGCGGUAUGGAGACUGCAGAUGCGAGUUUGGCCUUCAGAAGAAGAACCGCAGGUGCGGUACCGGGGCUCAGAUCCGGUCUUGGACGUUUAAGUGAAAACUGCAGGUGCGAUUGAUUUGACCAUAGAAGCGGUCCACAUGUGCGUGAAAGGGAGCCACGAGUGCGAAAUGCUUGGGCAGAAGGUAUUUAAAGGAACCCUUCACGAAUUUUGGGUGUUCUUCACCAUUUCAACUUGAUUUUUGGAGGGUUUUGAAGAGGGAUUCAAGGAGAAACUCGUUGAGGUAAUAUUUUUGAACCUAAAACUCGAUUCUAUGGUGAUUUUCAGUUGAUUAAGCAUGAAAAUUAUGGGAUUUAAGGGUGAAAAUGGGGGAUUAGAUAUUGAAAUUGGAGAGUUUAAAUUGAGGAUUUGAGGGGCCAUUUGAGGUUCGAUUUUGAUAAUUUUGGUAUGUAUUGACUCGGGAGUGAAAGGAGUUUCUAGUUUUAUGAAUUUUGUUGGCUUCUAAGAUGUGGGCCCCGGGGUCGGGUUAGGCCAAUUUCGGGAUUUUUUAGCUAAUUUGAUAAUUUCCGUAUGGGCUUUAUUCCUUUGGCGUGUAUUAAUGAUGUAAAAUUGAUUUUGGUUAGAUUCGGAGCAUUUGGAGGCCGAGUCGAGAGGCAAAGGCAUGCGGGCUAGAGUUUUGUCUGGUUUGAGGUAAGUAAUGAUUGUAAAUCUUGUCUUGAGGGUAUGAAUCCCCAAAUUUCACAUUGUUUCACUACUUUGAGGUGACGCACACGCUAGAUGAUGAGUGUGGGGGUGUUCACCGUUAGGGAUUAUGAUUUGGUCCGUCCCGUACGACUAUUAAGUCGCAUAUUUGACUGAAAACUAUUUGAUACUAUUGUGCUUUGGAAAGUAUUACUAUGUUAUGGGCUGAAUGCCAUAUUUAGGCCCGUGCCAAGCUGUUUGGAUACUGAGGGGCUUUUUUUAACUACUAUUCCUCACUAUCUUGAUGUAAUAUUUGUACUCAGUCAUGCUGUGUUUUACUGAUUUCAUAACUUAGCCUUAUUUACUCAGUUUUGAUACUAUAAAUGAUAUUUUGGGCUGAGUGCCCUAUUUUACUGUUAGCCCGAGUGGCUUGAGAGGUUUCUAACUGAGUGAGGCUGAGGGCCUGUGUGUGAGGAUAUCAUGAGAUCGGGCUGCGCGCCGUAGCAUGUUGUACUGAUUUGAGAUAUAUGAGAGGCUGAGUGCCUGAUUUGUUAUUCCACAAGAUGGCUUGUUAUAGAGCUUAGGCUGUAGGAGCCCCUACGGAGUCUGAAUACCCCCAAUGAGCGCGGGUACCUUGAGUGAGUGAUAUGAUGUUGCCCGAGGGGCUGAUCUUGAUUCAUGUUGUGCCCGAGGGGCUGAUUACGAGGGACUAUGAGGUAGCCCGAGGGGCUAGUUCUGAUUGAUGUUAUGUCGAGGGGCUAUUUACGAUUUUUAUCAUUUUUUCUCUAAACUUCAUUGAAUCUGUGUUGAAACUGUUAAAAAGACAUUUUUCAAAGGGUUUUUUUUACUGAAAAUUGGAUUUUUACAAGAUAAUUUGAAAUAUAUACUGUUUUGGAAACAUAUUAUACUUACUGUCGUGUUAUUACGUGGAUUAUGUGUUUUCUUACUGCUUAGUCUUUAUUUACUUUUAUUACUUACUGAGUUGGCGUACUUACAUUACUCCCUAUACCUUGUGUGCAGAUCCCAGGAGUUGCGGAUCGUGAUUGCUAACGCUGAUCUUUCAUCCAGCGGGUCUUUCAGAGUUGGCAAUGUAGUUGCAUGGCGUUUGUAGCCUUGUUGUUCUCCCUUUUAUCUUCCUUAGACUGUUUUUAGUAUUUUCCAGACUGUGAUAGUCUUUGUUGUAUUUAGACCUUAGUAGAUGCUCGUGACUUGUGACACCCUCAUGUCGGGCUUGUGUUUCUUUCCGCACUUGUUAUUUAGACGCAUGUUAUGGGAUUUUAUUUAAUUUAUAGCUUAAAACGUCC